CCUACGGGAGGCAGCAGUGGGGAAUAUUGGACAAUGGGCGAAAGCCUGAUCCAGCCAUGCCGCGUGUGUGAAGAAGGCCUUCGGGUUGUAAAGCACUUUCAGUGGGGAAGAAAGCCUUGGGGCUAAUACCCUCGAGGAAGGACAUCACCCACAGAAGAAGCACCGGCUAACUCCGUGCCAGCAGCCGCGGUAAUACGGAGGGUGCGAGCGUUAAUCGGAAUUACUGGGCGUAAAGCGCGCGUAGGCGGUCUGAUAAGCCGGUUGUGAAAGCCCCGGGCUCAACCUGGGAACGGCAUCCGGAACUGUCAGGCUAGAGUGUAGGAGAGGAAGGUAGAAUUCCCGGUGUAGCGGUGAAAUGCGUAGAGAUCGGGAGGAAUACCAGUGGCGAAGGCGGCCUUCUGGACUGACACUGACGCUGAGGUGCGAAAGCGUGGGUAGCAAACAGGAUUAGAUACCCGAGUAGUC
rnacentral:rRNA from 1 species